GGUGUGUCCUGGGGCAGUAGCAAUGAGCUGCCGCCAACAAACCCACGGGGCACAGCCAGCCCCGGCACAGUGUGCUCACUCAGGAGAGAAAGCCUCUAGGCCGUCACUGACUCACCUGUGUGUGCAGCUGUGCCUUCUCCCAGUGUCACUUUUCUUGCCCACCAUUGCUCCAGGAGAUGCAAUUCCACUCCCAGCACCCUGCUUCUGACUCUGAUCCUGACUCAGCUGCCUGAGCCAAGGGCUGGGGAACAGGCAGGGAUAUUGGACUGUGCUCUUCAGCAUCCAAAGGGGACAUGUGCUGCCUGCCAGGGCUCUGGAAAGCUUCCCCAGGGUGAGAAAACAGAGACUCGGAGCAUUAAAAUGACUUGUUCAAGGUCCCAGCAUUACAAAUCAGAUCAAACCAUGGAUGAAUGGAUCCAGCCUUUGUGUCUGUUUGCCCUUCAGAUACAUGAUUUCAUUAUGUGGAUGUUAUGAAUGAGCUGUGCAACUGUUGGUGAUGGAGUAACACAAAAAAACAAGGAGCAAGUGGAGAAGGUUAGCCC
rnacentral:lncRNA from 10 species